CCAUUAAGUAGCAGACCCUUAUAAACUGGGCCAAAACCACCCUGUCCAAGUAUGUUAGCUGGAGAGAAAUUGUUAGUGGCACCAAGCAUAGCGCUGAUACCAAAAAAUUCCAAGUGUGGAUUGAUUUCAAUUCCACCAAGCCCAUUUAAUCCAUCUUCAUGGAAGCUUAAACCAUCCAUAGGAUGAACUGAUCUUUUGUUCUUUUUGUCUCUCGUUG
rnacentral:misc_RNA from 1 species